UUCGAAGCAACGCGAAGAACCUUACCAAAUCUUGACAUCCUUUGACAACUCUAGAGAUAGAGCCUUCCCCUUCGGGGGACAAAGUGACAGGUGGUGCAUGGUUGUCGUCAGCUCGUGUCGUGAGAUGUUGGGUUAAGUCCCGCAACGAGCGCAACCCUUAAGCUUAGUUGCCAUCAUUAAGUUGGGCACUCUAAGUUGACUGCCGGUGACAAACCGGAGGAAGGUGGGGAUGACGUCAAAUCAUCAUGCCCCUUAUGAUUUGGGCUACACACGUGCUACAAUGGACAAUACAAAGGGCAGCGAAACCGCGAGGUCAAGCAAAUCCCAUAAAGUUGUUCUCAGUUCGGAUUGUAGUCUGCAACUCGACUACAUGAAGCUGGAAUCGCUAGUAAUCGUAGAUCAGCAUGCUACGGUGAAUACGUUCCCGGGUCUUGUACACACCGCCCGUCACACCACGAGAGUUUGUAACACCCGAAGCCGGUGGAGUAACCUUUUAGGAGCUAGCCGUCGAAGGUGGGACAAAUGAUUGGGGUGAAGUCGUAACAAGGUAGCCGUAUCGGAAGGUGCGGCUGG
rnacentral:rRNA from 1 species